GUCCUUUUGAUUAUAAUUUAAGGUCUAAUCUGCUCAAUGAAGAUUUAAAUAGCCGCGGUAUUUUGACCGUGCAAAGGUAGCAUAAUAAUUAGCUUUUUGAUUGAGAGCUGGAAUGAAUGAUUGGACGAGAAAGCUACUGUCUCUUUCUUAAAAAUUGAAUUUAACUUUUUAGUGAAAAGGCUAAAAUUUUAAUUAAAGACGAGAAGACCCUAUAGAGUUUAAUUUUCUUUAUUAUACUUUUUGUUUUGGUAUUAAUUUAAUAGUUUAAAAAUAAAAUUUAAUUGGGGUGAUUAAGAGACUUGAAUAACUCUCUUAGCUUAUAAUCAUUGAUUUGUGAAUUUUGAUUCUAAAUUUAUUUAAUUUUAAAACAAAUUACCUUAGGGAUAACAGCGUAAUUUUACUUUAGAGUUCUUAUUGCAAGUAGAGUUUGCGACCUCGAUGUUGGAUUAAAAUUAAUUAUUGGCGCAGUAGCUAAAAAAUUGAGUCUGUUCGACUUUUAAAAUUUUACAUGAUCUGAGUUUAAACCGGUGUGAGCCAGGUUGGUUUCUAUCUUUAUUAGUUUAGGGAUUUUUAGUACGAAAGGACCAAUUUCUCGGUAUUCUACCUGAUCUUUGAAUAUUAUUGUUACUUUGGCAGAUUAGUGCAAUUGAUUUAGAAUCUUUAAAUGUAAUUUUUUACAGGUAAUAAUUGUUUAUAUUUGAUUUUUUUCUUUCUUUGGUUAGGUUUAUUUUAUUAGUGGUGUGCGUUCUUGUAGGGGUUGCUUUUUUGACUUUGCUUGAGCGUAAGGUUUU
rnacentral:rRNA from 1 species